rnacentral:rRNA from 1 species
CCUACGGGAGGCAGCAGUGGGGAAUAUUGCGCAAUGGGCGAAAGCCUGACGCAGCGACGCCGCGUGAGGGAUGAAGGUCUUCGGAUCGUUAACCUCUGUCAGCAGGGAAGAACGGUCACUGUGUUAAUCAGCAGUGAAUUGACGGUACCUGCAAAGGAAGCACAGGCUAACUCCGUGCCAGCAGCCGCGGUAAUACGGAGGGUGCGAGCGUUAAUCGGAAGUACUGGGCGUAAAGCGCUCGUAGGCGGUAUGUCAAGUCAAGGGUGAAAUCCCCGCGCUCAACGUGGGAACUGCCUUUGAAACUGGCAGACUGGAGUGUGUGAGAGGAUAGGGGAAUUCCAGGUGUAGGAGUGAAAUGCGUAGAUAUCUGGAGGAACAUCAGUGGCGAAGGCGACUAUCUGGAACAUAACUGACGCUGAGGAGCGAAGGCGUGGGUAGCGAACAGGAUUAGAUACCCCAGUAGUC